GGAGGGAUCAUCAAAGAAAACAACUUUCUUAUAAGUUGCGAGGGGAUAUUUGGGUUGAUUGGGGGAAGAAAAGCAUACUCUGCAUUUCUUUUUCUUGUUUAACCUUUUUAUUCCUUUUGCUUCUUCAAACAAACGAUCGCAACUAAUAUCAAUGAUUUGGUUUAAGGAGGGGGGUUUCUUGCAAGUAAAAAGACAGCAAUGUCUCUCGCUUUGCUUGAUUGAUAAAAAAAGUGUUUGCCUGAUAUUCAAUGCCAUUGAUUUGGUUGGAAAACAGUUAUAUACAACUUUCAACAACGGAUCUCUUGGCUCUCACAUCGAUGAAGAACAUAGCAAAGUGUGAAAAUUAAUGUGAAUUGCAGAAUUCAGUGAAUCAUUGAGUUUUUGAACGCAUCUUGCACUUCUUGGUUAUUCCAGGGAGUAUGCCUGGUUGAGCAAUGUGAAUAUAUCUUAUCAGAACCAGUGUUUUUGGUUUUGGAAUUGAGUGAUUUACCUUGGGUUUCUCCCAAAGUUCACUUGAAAUGAAGGAAAAGCAAAACAUACCACUCAUAAGGAUGUUUGGUUGGUUGAAUUAUACGGACAAGCAGAUUGAUUUGGAAAGAAACAGCUUGCUUUAUAACAACAAUGACUUUAUUAGUUGAUUGGCUUUGGUGUGGGUUGAUUUGAAAUGGGUAAAAAGUCUUGUUUAGAGCUGUCUUCUUGUUACUGCUUCGUCUAUCAACUGGCAAUAUCUCUUAGUCAAGUUCUCUUGGUUAUUAUGGAUAUAAACAAGCAUUCUUGGUUGUUCUACUUUUUACAACUAGGAAUGGCAUUUCUAUUAAGAGGAGGAAGCGUAAAAAACUUUCUCUCCUAAAUAAUAUGUCACCAAAAUAUCAUUCUCAACUCAGGCAAGACUACCCGCUGAAUUAAGCAUAUAAAUAAGCGGAGAAAAGAAACUAACUAGGAUUCCCUUAGUAACGGCGAGUGAAGCGGGAAAAGCUCAACUUUGAAAUCUACCAAGAGUAACAUUUUUGGUCGAAUUGUAGUUUCGAGAAAGAGUGGCUGAGAGAAGUCAGUUGGAUGCAAGUUCUUUGGAAUGUGACAUCAGAGAGGGUGACAAUCCCGUCUACCAUUCUUCUGUUGCUUCUUAUAAAGGCCCUCUUUCAAAGAGUCGAGUUGUUUGGGAUUGCCAGCUCAAAAUGGGUGGUAAAUUUCAUCUAAAGCUAAAUAUUGGUGAGAGACCGAUAGCGAACAAGUACCGUGAGGGAAAGAUGAAAGCACUCUGAAGAGAGAGUGAAAAGUACGUGAAAUUGUUGAAAGGGAAACGCUUGAAACCAGUCAAGGUUUGUUAGAAACCGGGAAGACUGUAACUUGGCAGAAUUGAUAGAGAGAUUGACUUUCUGGUUGACUCCUCUGUUAGUUUAGCUUGGUUACGUCCUCGCAUCUUUCUAAUAAACAAGUCAGCAUCAGUUUGGGGUUUGGGAAAAAGAUAACAGGAUUUGGUUGGGCUUUUAAUGAACUUCGGUUCUUGAAGGCUCGAGCCUGCUUAUCAUGAUACCGACGCUAGACUGAGGACUGCAGUACGGGGCAUUGACUUGGAAUAGGUGUAUCUUGUGGUGCUAUCCUUGAUAAACAGCUUGCUGAUUGUUAAAGAUACGUACUCAAGCCUCGCCAUAUCUAAGCUGGCUUCCGACUUUGGAUGUUGACGAAAUGGUUUUAAACGACCCGUCUUGAAACACGGACCAAGGAGUCUAACAUGGAUGCAAGUAUUUGGGUGAUUGGAAACCCAUAUGCGUAAUGAAAGUGACCUUUUAAAGGGUAGGAAGCCAAGGUUUGAGCGUUAAAACUCAUCCAUGGCAGCACUAUCGACCAAUGUUGACUAGCUUCGGCUUGAUAGAUUUGAGUAAGAGCAUGUAUGUUGGGACCCGAAAGAUGGUGAACUAUGCCUGAAUAGGGUGAAGUCAGACGAAAGUCUGAUGGAAGCUCGUAGCGAUUCUGACGUGCAAAUCGAUCGUCAAAUUUGGGUAUAGGGGCGAAAGACUAAUCGAACCAUCUAGUAGCUGGUUCCUGC
rnacentral:misc_RNA from 1 species